ACGUGAGCAAUGUGCCCUUGACUCUGGGAUAAGCGCUGGAAACGGCGUCUAAUACCGGAUACGACGAUCGGAGGCAUCUCCUGGUCGUGGAAAGAACUUCGGUCAAGGAUCAGCUCACGGCCUAUCAGUUAGUUGGUGAGGUAAUGGCUCACCAAGACGACGACGGGUAGCCGGCCUGAGAGGGUGACCGGCCACACUGGGACUGAGACACGGCCCAGACUCCUACGGGAGGCAGCAGUGGGGAAUAUUGCACAAUGGGCGCAAGCCUGAUGCAGCAACGCCGCGUGAGGGACGAAGGCCUUCGGGUUGUAAACCUCUUUUAGCAGGGAAGAAGCGAAAGUGACGGUACCUGCAGAAAAAGCACCGGCUAACUACGUGCCAGCAGCCGCGGUAAUACGUAGGGUGCAAGCGUUGUCCGGAAUUAUUGGGCGUAAAGAGCUCGUAGGCGGUUUGUCACGUCUGCUGUGAAAACCCGAGGCUCAACCUCGGGCUUGCAGUGGGUACGGGCAGACUAGAGUGCGGUAGGGGAGAUUGGAAUUCCUGGUGUAGCGGUGGAAUGCGCAGAUAUCAGGAGGAACACCGAUGGCGAAGGCAGAUCUCUGGGCCGUAACUGACGCUGAGGAGCGAAAGCAUGGGGAGCAAACAGGCUUAGAUACCCUGGUAGUCCAUGCCGUAAACGUUGGGAACUAGAUGUGGGGACCAUUCCACGGUCUCCGUGUCGUAGCUAACGCAUUAAGUUCCCCGCCUGGGGAGUACGGCC
rnacentral:rRNA from 1 species